AAAGAUCCAUAUCUCAAGUCUAAAUUUAUUCGUUGUAUUUUCAAUUUGUUGAGUUCUGAAAGCUCCUCGGUUCGGUUUGAAGCGGCAAAUACCCUCUCAAUGUUAACUUCUUUGCCUUCUGCCAUUAAAGAGGUGACCAAAGUGUAUGUGGAACUUGUUUCUGGGGAGAAUGACAAUAAUGUUAGUUUGGUAGUGCUGGGAAGACUCGCACAGCUUAUAAAAUCAACUAAUAUCUCUGUUUUCGUGAAUAGCGCUGUUGAUAUGCUGAGAAUGUUGGUUUCCAGUGACAUUUCAAUAAGAAAGGAAGUUCUUAGACUUGUCGUUCAGGUCGUAUCUCGAAGGAAUGUCACACAAGU